AUUGAACGCUGGCGGCAUGCCUUACACAUGCAAGUCGAACGGCAGCGGGGGAGAAGCUUGCUUUUCCUGCCGGCGAGCGGCGAACGGGUGAGUAAUACAUCGGAACGUGCCCUGUAGUGGGGGAUAACUAGUCGAAAGAUUAGCUAAUACCGCAUACGACCUGAGGGUGAAAGUGGGGGACCGCAAGGCCUCAUGCUAUAGGAGCGGCCGAUGUCUGAUUAGCUAGUUGGUGGGGUAAAGGCCUACCAAGGCGACGAUCAGUAGCUGGUCUGGGAGGACGAUCAGCCACACUGGGACUGAGACACGGCCCAGGCUCCUACGGGAGGCAGCAGUGGGGAAUUUUGGACAAUGGGCGAAAGCCUGAUUCAGCAAUGCCGCGUGUGUGAAGAAGGCCUUCGGGUUGUAAAGCACUUUUGUCCGGAAAGAAAUGGCUCUGGUUAAUACCUGGGGUCGAUGACGGUACCGGAAGAAUAAGGACCGGCUAACUACGUGCCAGCCGCCGCAGUAA
rnacentral:rRNA from 1 species